GGUGGCGUGGCCGAGUGGUUAAGGCGUUGGAUUUAAGCUCCCAAUGACGGAAGUCGCGCGAGUUCGAACCUCGCCGCCACCA
rnacentral:tRNA from 1 species